CGCCUUAUAGAGACGUUUUCAGAAAACUGUAGUGCCAUCUGAUAGUUGGCCCCAAAAUUAAAGCUUUGUCAGCUGUCACUCGCUUUGAAACCUGCCCACUGGUCAUAAAAUGGCGGCUACUUCUAGCGUUUGCAGUUUGCACAUGUAUGUAGCUCUCGUGUUCCAUUUUGCAUAUUUUUGGUAUUGAAAUCGAAGUGUAAAUGCGUCGAGUCGAGCCUUGUGCUCCUCCGCCUUGCUGUUGCGAAUUCACUCCAAAAAUCUCCUUAUUCUGUGUAUUUCUACUUUUUGUGAUAGAGACCCAUUGGUUUGUGGAAUUUAUGAAUUUUGGUGUAAUGCCGAGACGUUGUGCUUUCGGUUGUGCGCUCCGUGAGAUUCCAAUGCAUGGUUUCCCAGAUGCUGUCAAAUUCCUGAGCAGUUUAAAACUUGGGUCAGUCUUGUUGGUGGAAACCCUUAAACAUCUGAUCUUGAAUGAAGAAGAAAGAAGAAGAGAAUUUGUGAUAUACACUUUUCUGACAGACACAGAAAUCAUAAUCAAUGGGUAAGCACAUUGGCAGUUCCGAUGCUUCAUCUGCUUGGUAAGUCCCCUAAUUUAACACAUAUUGAGUUGCUAUUCGAUUCUAUUCCUUACUCUGUCAGAUUUAGUCACACCACUAAGAAUCUUUGUUGAGUUGAUGGUUUUUUUGGAGGACAACUACAGAGUCAAGUAAUCUUAGGACAAGCUUCAUCCACACAACAUUUACUGCCUACAAUAAUACAGCAAGACUGUUCAGAUGCAUCUCGACAAUUUACUUCAGCAAGGUGCUUGAUGCUGGAACAUAAUUAUAGUUUUAUUAGUAAGCCUAAAGGUGUUCCUUUAGGCUGGAAAAGAUCUAAUGGCUCCACAGCGUACAAAGAUCAAGCAUCUUCAAGUAGAAAUAUUGCGCUUGCGAAAAAAGGUACAAUCUUUCAAAGCAAGGUUAAAAGGUGGUGCAGAUCGAUCAAUCGAAUUUUGUCAGGAAAAUUAACAUAUGUGGGUGAAGGCGAAACAAAAACAGCUGCCAACAAUAUAAUGAUAAACAUAAACAUUAUAAAAAUAAAAAAUA